rnacentral:tRNA from 2 species
GGGGGAUUAGCUCAGUUGGCUAGAGCGUUACACUGGCAGUGUAAAGGCCAUCGGUUCGAAUCCGAUAUUCUCCACCA